AAGGACGCCCUAUUGAUACU
rnacentral:siRNA from 1 species